GAUGAACGCUAGCUACAGGCUUAACACAUGCAAGUCGAGGGGCAGCACAAGGCAGCAAUGCUGAGGUGGCGACCGGCGCACGGGUGCGUAACGCGUAUCCAACCUUCCCGUUACUCUUGGAUAGCCUUCCGAAAGGGAGAUUAAUACAAGAUGGUGUUGAAAUUCCGCAUGUUAUUUCAACUAAAGAUUUAUCGGUAACGGAUGGGGAUGCGUUCCAUUAGCUUGUUGGCGGGGUAACGGCCCACCAAGGCUUCGAUGGAUAGGGGUUCUGAGAGGAAGGUCCCCCACACUGGAACUGAGACACGGUCCAGACUCCUACGGGAGGCAGCAGUGAGGAAUAUUGGUCAAUGGUCGGAAGACUGAACCAGCCAAGUAGCGUGAAGGAUGAAGGUUCUAUGGAUUGUAAACUUCUUUUAUACGGGAAUAAAACACCUUAACGUGUAGGGUCUUGUAUGUACCGUAUGAAUAAGCAUCGGCUAACUCCGUG
rnacentral:rRNA from 1 species